rnacentral:rRNA from 1 species
UACGUAGGGGGCAAGCGUUGUCCGGAUUUAUUGGGCGUAAAGCGCGUGUAGGCGGCUUUGCAAGUCGGGUGUGAAAGCCCUCAGCUCAACUGAGGAAGUGCGCCCGAAACUGCAGAGCUUGAGUGCCGGAGAGGGUGGCGGAAUUCCCCAAGUAGAGGUGAAAUUCGUAGAUAUGGGGAGGAACACCAGUGGCGAAGGCGACUUCCUGGCCUGUUCUUGACGCUGAGGCGCGAAAGCUAGGGGAGCAAACGGG